UGACCAAAAUCUCUGACACCAUCUCUUUC
rnacentral:piRNA from 1 species